UACAGAGGUCUCAAGCGUUGUUCGGAUUCAUUGGGCGUAAAGGGCGCGUAGGCGGCGGGGUAAGUCGGGUGUGAAAUCUCAGAGCUCAACUCUGAAACUGCACUCGAUACUGCUCUGCUUGAGGACUGGAGAGGAGACUGGAAUUCACGGUGUAGCAGUGAAAUGCGUAGAUAUCGUGAGGAAGACCAGUGGCGAAGGCGGGUCUCUGGACAGUUCCUGACGCUGAGGCGCGAAAGGCCAGGG
rnacentral:rRNA from 1 species